AUUUAUUGACUUUAUUAUUAUAUAGAGGUAUUGUGAACAACUGUGAACUUAGGUAUGAGUAGUUAUUAUAAUGAAUCUAAUGUUGACUUAUGUUAUUAUAUUUGCUAUAUUGAUAUGUUAGUUGAAGUUUCUUUCACUCCUAUGGUAUGAUGAAAUGUUUGGAAUGGGUUAUCGGGGCGACCUCCGAUUUAUAUAAGCUUGAG
rnacentral:lncRNA from 1 species